UACCUUGUGGUGUAGUGGUCAAGACGCUCGUCUGGUAAACAGGAGGGCAUGGGUUCGAUCCCAGCCGAGGUAU
rfam:Asian citrus Psyllid, Diaphorina citri - Florida Strain, whole genome shotgun sequence.